GUGCCAGCAGCCGCGGUAAGACAGAGGGUGCAAACGUUGUUCGGAAUUACUGGGCGUAAAGCGUGUGUAGGCGGCCAUGUAAGUCGGAUGUGAAAGCCCCGGGCUUAACCCGGGAAGUGCAUUCGAUACUGCGUGGCUUGAGUAUCGGAGAGGUUGGUGGAAUUCUCGGUGUAGAGGUGAAAUUCGUAGAUAUCGAGAGGAACACCGGUGGCGAAGGCGGCCAACUGGACGAAUACUGACGCUGAGACACGAAAGCGUGGGGAGCAAACAGGAUUAGAUACCCUGGUAGUCC
rnacentral:rRNA from 1 species